rnacentral:rRNA from 1 species
UACGGAGGGAGCUAGCGUUGUUCGGAAUUACUGGGCGUAAAGCGCGUGUAGGCUGCUCUGCAAGUCGGAUGUGAAGCCCUGGCUCAACCUAGGAAGUGCACUCGAACUGCGGAGCUUGAGUCUCGGAGAGGAUCGCGGAAUUCUCGGUGUAGAGGUGAAAUUCGUAGAUAUCGAGAGGAACACCGGUGGCGAAGGCGGCGAUCUGGACGAUGACUGACGCUGAGACGCGAAGCGUGGGAGCAA